AUCCAGCUGACUAAUUCUAAAUAGAACGAAAUUCGCGUCCUGGAU
rnacentral:hammerhead_ribozyme from 1 species